AUGCUUGUCAGGAAAUGUUUGGAUGUGUAGUGACGCAAGUGCCGGAGGGUUGCAUUUGGGCCCACUGUACCUCUUUUCUUCAGUCCCAGGGUGACACUAUUACCCAUAUCUGGAAGCUCAUACUGUUCUCUUCCACAGGUCUGGCGGUGUAUCCUUCCCAAGUGGCGUGGAUGUGAAGAAGAGACACGACAUUUCCCCCGAUGUUCCAUGGGCGACCUACUUGUGAUGUGGACCUGACCCUCCGCCAUGUAGCAGACAACCCCCUCAGGUCUGGCGGUGUAUCCUUCCCAAGUUGCGUGGAUGUGAAGAAGAGACACGACAUUUCCCCUGAUGUUCCAUGGGCGACCUACUUGUGAUGUGGACCUGACCCGCCGCCAUGUAGCAGACAACCCCCUCAGGUCUGGCGGUGUAUCCUUCCCAAGUGGCGUGGAUGUGAAGAAGAGACACGACAUUUCCCCUGAUGUUCCAUGGGCGACCUACUUGUGAUGUGGACCUGAUCCUCCGCCAUGUAGCAGACAACCCCCUCAGGUCUGGCGGUGUAUCCUUCCCAAGUGGCGUGGAUGUGAAGAAGAGACACGACAUUUCCCCCGAUGUUCCAUGGGCGACCUACUUGUGAUGUGGACCUGACCCUCCGCCAUGUAGCAGACAACCCCCUCAGGUCUGGCGGUGUAUCCUUCCCAAGUUGCGUGGAUGUGAAGAAGAGACACGACAUUUCCCCUGAUGUUCCAUGGGCGACCUACUUGUGAUGUGGACCUGACCCGCCGCCAUGUAGCAGACAACCCCCUCAGGUCUGGCGGUGUAUCCUUCCCAAGUGGCGUGGAUGUGAAGAAGAGACACGACAUUUCCCCUGAUGUUCCAUGGGCGACCUACUUAUGUACAAUCCAACUGCAUUUCAAAUUUUAAUAAAAACCACA